GAUGAACGCUGGCGGCGUGCCUAAUACAUGCAAGUCGAGCGAACAGACGAGGAGCUUGCUCCUCUGACGUUAGCGGCGGACGGGUGAGUAACACGUGGAUAACCUACCUAUAAGACUGGGAUAACUUCGGGAAACCGGAGCUAAUACCGGAUAACAUCUUGAACCGCAUGGUUCGACAGUGAAAGACGGUCUUUCUGUCACGUCUAGCUGGAUCCGCGCCGCAUGAGCUGGUUGGUAAGGUAACGGCUUUCCAAGGCAACGAUGCGUAGACGAACUGAGAGGGGGAUCGGCGACCUUGGAACUGGGACACGGACCAGACGCCUACGGGAGGCAGCAGUAGGGAACCGUCCGCAACGGGCGAAAGUCUGACGGAGCAAGGGGGAGUGAGUUAAGAAGGCGCUCGGAGCGGAAUACCCUGUUACUAGUGAAGAACAACUGUGGAAGUAACUAUGCACGGACUGACGGUAAUUAAUCAGAAAGCCACGGCUAACUACGUG
rnacentral:rRNA from 1 species